rnacentral:rRNA from 1 species
UACGUAGGGGGCAAGCGUUGUCCGGAAUCAUUGGGCGUAAAGCGCGCGUAGGCGGCCCUGUAAGUCCGUUGUGAAAGUCGAAGGCUCACCUUCGAAAAGCCGAUGGAUACUGCAGGGCUAGAGUCCGGAAGAGGCGAGUGGAAUUCCUGGUGUAGCGGUGGAAUGCGCAGACGUAUCAGGAGGAACACCGAUGGCGAAGGCAGGCUCUGGGCCAUUAACUGCGCUGAGGAGCGAAAGCAUGGGGAGCGAACAGG